rnacentral:rRNA from 1 species
AGUGAACGCUGGCGGUAGGCCUAACGCAUGCAAGUCGAACGGCAGCACAGGAGAGCUUGCUCUCUGGGUGGCGAGUGGCGGACGGGUGAGGAAUACAUCGGAAUCUACUUUUUCGUGGGGGAUAACGUAGGGAAACUUACGCUAAUACCGCAUACGACCUACGGGUGAAAGCAGGGGAUCUUCGGACCUUGCGCGAUUGAAUGAGCCGAUGUCGGAUUAGGUAGUUGGCGGGGUAAAGGCCCACCAAGGCGACGAUCCGUAGCUGGUCUGAGAGGAUGAUCAGCCACACUGGAACUGAGACACGGUCCAGACUCCUACGGGAGGCAGCAGUGGGGAAUAUUGGACAAUGGGCGCAAGCCUGAUCCAGCCAUACCGCGUGGGUGAAGAAGGCCUUCGGGUUGUAAAGCCCUUUUGUUGGGAAAGAAAUCCAGCUGGCUAAUACCCGGUUGGGAUGACGGUACCCAAAGAAUAAGCACCGGCUAACUUCGUGCCAGCCGCCGCGGUAA